rnacentral:misc_RNA from 1 species
AAAGUGCGAUAAGCAAUGCGAAUUGCAGAAUUCCGCGAAUCAUCAGAUCCUUGAACGCAACUGGCGCCAGGAGGCUCUCCUCCUGGCAUGCCUGUUUCAGUGUCUGAAAACCUCAUAUUUACCUUAAUGUGGAUGACACAGAGAGAAGAAGUUUUACUACUUCAUUUCUACUCUGCUAAAGUCUUCCAUUAAAGAUGUAUGUGUGGGUCUUUGAACCCCUCAUCGAAUUGGUCACUGGUCUCUUCAGUGAUUUCGAUAGGGAAUGUUUCAAUUACUCAAUUACACAUAGACCAUAAUCAUCAUCAAACUCUGCAUCUGAAAUCAGGCAAGAUCACCCGCUGAACUUAA